rnacentral:rRNA from 1 species
GACGAACGCUGGCGGCGUGCUUAACACAUGCAAGUCGAACGGAAAGGCCCUGCUUUUGUCUGGUGCCCGCGUGGCGAACGUGUGAGUAACCCGUGAGUCUCCUGCCCUUGACUUUGGGACAACUUCAGGCAACUGCGGCUACUACCGGCUAGCUGCUCCUGCUGCAUGGUGGGCGUUGGACCGUUUCGGCGGUUGGGGAUGGAGUGCCGGCUUAUCAGCUUGUUGGUGGGGUAGUUGCCUACCCAGGCUUCGACGGCUAGUCGGCCUGAGAGGGGGAACGGCGACAUGGGGACUGAGAGAGGGCGCAGACGGGAACGGUAGGCAGCAGGGGGGAAUAUUGUACAAUGGGCGGAAGCGUGAUGCGGAAGCGCCGCGAGCGGGAUGAAGGCCUUCGGGGGGGAAACCGCUGUCGCCUGAGACGAAGCGGGAGUGACGGUAAUGGGUAAAGAAGCACCGGCUAACUACGUG